rnacentral:rRNA from 1 species
UACGUAGGGGGCAAGCGUUAUCCGGAAUUACUGGGUGUAAAGGGAGCGUAGACGGUAAUGUAAGUCUGGAGUGAAAGGCGGGGGCCCAACCCCCGGACUGCUCUGGAAACUAUGUUACUAGAGUGCAGGAGAGGUAAGCGGAAUUCCUAGUGUAGCGGUGAAAUGCGUAGAUAUUAGGUGGAACACCAGUGGCGAAGGCGGCUUACUGGACUGUAACUGACGUUGAGGCUCGAAAGCGUGGGGAGCAAACAGG